AAGUCUGGGAAGAAAGACCACCUGAAACUGCUACGGAGAUGCUUGUUCCAGUGGCAGCAAAGAAAACAAAAUCAGCUGCACCUCAAAUAUUGGGUGGGAAAAGUCCAUCUGCAAAUGGAAAGUCUGGCAGUCAAGUAUCUGGCAAAUCCUGUAGCAAGACAUUCAAUUCUAAGAAUGCUCUACAGUCUCGUGCCAAGGCUAAGCAUGGUGGUAAAUAAAAUGUGGUUAGAUCUCUGCUUUUGAUUGUCACGAUUUUGGUACUGCAGACAUACGGAUGCAUUGGGGAUUUAGCAAUACUUCUCAUUAUUAUAGGUCUACAAUUU